GUAGAGCGUGAGCAGGAGCGAUUGCGACUGCGAACGCGUUUCGAUGAAAUACACUGGUUCCCGACAACACAAAAACAACAAUGAUAGCCAGUUUUGAGAGCGCAAAGUUCUCAUAAG
rnacentral:rRNA from 1 species